rnacentral:rRNA from 1 species
AUUGAACGCUGGCGGCAGGCCUAACACAUGCAAGUCGAACGAGUGGCGGACGGGUGAGUAAUGUCUGGGAAACUGCAUGAUGGAGGGGGAUAACUACUGGAAACGGUAGAUAAUAACGCAUACCAUCGGAUGUGCCCAGAUGGGAUUAGCUAGUAGGUGGGGGAAAGGCGCACCUAGGCGACGAUCCCUAGCUGGUCUGAGAGGAUGACCCGCCCCACGGGCACUGACACACGGUCCAGCCUCCUACGGGAGGCAGACGUGGGGAAUAUUGCACAAUGGGCGCAAGCCUGAUACAGCCAUGCCGCGUGUAUGAAGAAGGCCUUCGGGUUGUAAAGUACUUUCAGCGGUGAGGCGUUACCCGCAGAAGAAGCACCGGCUAACUCCGUGCCAGCAGCCGCGGUAAUAC